AAUCAACGCUGGCGGCGUGCCUCAGACAUGCAAGUCGAACGCGAAAGUCCCCUUCGGGGGACAAGUAGAGUGGCGCACGGGUGAGUAACACGUAGGUAAUCUACCUUCGGAUGGGGAUAACAACCGGAAACGGUUGCUAUACCGCAUAAUGCAGCGGCACCUAAUGGUGACAGUUGUUAAAGCGGGGGAUCGAAAGACCUCGCGUCUGAAGAGGAGCCUGCGGCGGAUUAGCUAGUGGUAAGGUAAUGGCUUACCAAGGCGACGAUCCGUAGCCGGCCUGAGAGGGCGGUCGGCCACACUGACACUGACAUACGGGUCAGACUCCUACGGGAGGCAGCAGUCGGGAAUUUUGGGCAAUGGGCGAAAGCCUGACCCAGCAACGCCGCGUGAAGGAUGAAAUCCCUCGGGAUGUAAACUUCGCAAGAACGGGAAGAAUAAGUAGGGGAC
rnacentral:rRNA from 1 species